UACGGUUUCCAUUUAAUCUUUUUUCUUUUUCUUCUUCCGUAAACGUCCACCGGCGCACGAAUCGAGUCGUACCGGUUCACGGUGGACGCGAUAAAAGCUCUUUUUAAACAUGAAUCAACAAUGGUGAUCGAAUCUUGACGACGCAACGUUGCGUUCUUACCGGUCCAUCGGUAGCGGAGUAGGUCGUCUCGCGUGGACCUGCACUCGUGAGAUUCUCGUUGCAAACCUGUUCACCUUCGUCCUCGCCCUCGGAUCGAACACAUCCGUGGCUCGUCUUUCGCAUCUUCCGCUUAACUGAGUCCUGAGAAUUUGUCGAACGUUAGUCAGAUCAUAAAGAAAGACAGAAAGAAUCGACGAAAGAACAUUACUUACAUACCCUUCGUGUCUGAUUCUUCAUCUGAAAUUCUUUCAUGCGAGCAGAAUUAAUUUUCCCCUAAUUAUUGUAACUUUCAAGAAAUUUCUGAGAAUUCAUCGUGUAUAUUGAUAUGUAUCAUUAUGCAAUCAGGUUGCUACGUCAUCAUUUCAUAACUAAAACGCUUAAUUAUCGGGAAAAUUUCAAGUUGGAGUUUCUAGUCAGCGAUUUCGAAUUACUGUUCUGUUAAUUAAGAGCGGAACUCGUUUCGCACGGAAUUCCAAGAUUCGAGAAUAUCGACCAGAGAUGUACCGUGGUCUGUCGAUCAUCCUGAGAAUCAUUUGAAAUUCCGUUGAAUUAACCGGAAGCUUAACAAUUUUCGAUCGGAAGCGAACGCUGUCUGUCUACGAUCGAUUUGCGGUUCGGUCGCUCUUCUUUGGUUUAACGUCGACUUCGAUUUUCCACGCUGACUGUUCCAUCAUAUCGCGGACAUCAGAAAUUUAGUACGAGAAAUCCCAUUAACUUCGUAGAAAAUAGUCGAGAAUUGAUGAAAACAAUCGGGAAACACUGGAAAUACUGGUUUUCCCGUGUAUCAAAAAAGUCACAAGAGCGCGAGCCUUGAACCUCGAAGAAGCGUUAAAAAUGUAAAAUCUGUCGCGACGUGGAAACCUAGGUAUCCUCGAUAAAGUCGCUAAGAAUUUCUGCGAAAUCUAUAGAAUAGAAUGAUCGAAUAUCUUUUCUUUUUAGUUGCAAAACAUACAAGGAUCUUAGUGGAAAAGUGAUACGAGUUCACUCUUUUCUGAAAAUAGUAAAAGAACGUACAGCUUGCGAUAGACGUUCAGUUGAGCCACGGAGGUUGUACCUUGAAUGUCGACCGUACGUGAAACCGGUCACGUAGAGAAAUUCCAGAAACUUGGUAAAACUUUUGGUACGUAGAUGGUACGUUGUACUCCGGAUUCGAUCACCGAACUUUGUCGUAAUCAUUUCCUUUUUGGAUACGUUCGCCAAUUUUGUUUCUUUUCUUCUCUCUGUUUCCU